UUGACUAAUGAUCGAGAAUCAUUAUUAUCUACUUCGUCAGCUGCGAAGCUGGCUUGAUAAUCUGAAUGCAUCCAGUCGGAAGCUCCAGUUUAUCUCCUCAUCAGGCUAAUCACGGUUAUUGACCCGGCUUUUUGCCGGGUCUUUUUUUU
rnacentral:sRNA from 1 species